CUCUGCCUCUCUCUCGUGCUCGCUCCUCGCUCUUGUAUUUCAACUUCUGUGUGUGUGCGUGCGUCUCUCUCUCUGUCUCGCUGUGUAUAGCUUUUCCAUUGUUCAAUAUUGGUAUGAUGAUUGUUGUACGGGUUUAAUCUGUCCUGAUUUUUACAGCCUGGUUCUCCAGAGAGAGGGAGAUGGCCGGAGGUAGCCAUCACAAGGGUUCUUCUUCUUCUUCGCAAAAACCCUCCUCUUCCCACCGCAAGCCCCGGUGGGAGUCCACUGACAAGAAACCCUCCGCCGCCGGCGAAUCUCGGCCCCCGCCUCCCAAGCCCUCCUCCAAACCCACCCCUGACCGUCACCAAAACCCUAACCCUAAACCUGCUGGUCCUGCUCUCAGCCCCGCUUUCCCCAAUCCGCCGCCCGAUCCGUCCCGUUCGGUUCUUGACCCGAUGCAUCCUGGACCUCCGCCGCCCGCGUACGGGUUCCACAUGCUGGACCGGAGGACCAUCGUGCUGGCCGACAGCAGCGUGAGGUCAUACUUCGCCUUGCCGCCGGACUACCAGGACUUUGCUCGCCAGGUUCUGCCUCGCGGACCGGAAGUUCCCGGUUCAGGGCUAGGGUUCGACAGGCGGCUCGGUCCGAUGAGUCCCGAUUUUCGGGACCGCGAGUUCUGGAAUCCAGAGAAUUCAUUAAAGAGGAAGUACGGUGAUGAUGUCGAAUUAGCUAGACAUAGACAACAGCUUUUGCAGUAUGCGAAUGCGGGUUUGAAUCCGAAUGGGUAUCCGGUGAAUCCGGGUGAUAGGGGCGAGCUUCCGGCGGGAACCAGCGCCCAUUUUCCUCGGGACGGAUUGGAUUUAGGCCGAGGUGAUGAAUUUAGGGCAUCGAAGUAUAUGAGACUUGGUGGUGGCGGUGGUGAUGACCAUGUGGGUCUCAAGCACAAUGAUGUUGACCAGGGUGCCUUGAAAAGGGCCUUUUUGCAUUUUGUGAAGCUCAUUAAUGAGAAUGUCAAUCAGAAGAGGAAUUACUUGGAAAAUGGGAAGCAGGCUCCCCUUCAGUGCGUCAUCUGUGGCAGAUCAUCUAAAGAAUUUCCAGACAUGCAUAGUCUUAUCAUGCAUAUGUACAACCCAGACAAAGCUGAUUUGCUUGUGGAUCAUUUGGGCUUGCACAAAGCUCUGUGUGUUCUGAUGGGCUGGAAUUAUUUGAAAUCUCCUGAUAACUCAAAAGCAUAUCAGUUGCUGCCUCCUGAUGAAGCAGCGGCUAACCAGGAUGAUCUGAUUAUGUGGCCUCCUAUGGUGAUUAUUCUUAAUACAAACACGGGAAAGGGAAGAGAUGGCCGCCAAGAAGGUUUGGGAAACAAAGCAAUGGAUAAUAAACUUAGAGAGCUUGGAUUUGGGAGUGGCAAGGCAAUGUCUGUAUACGGAAGAGAGGGUCACCUUGGCAUUACUACGGUUAAGUUUGCUGGCGAUGAAUCAGGCUUAAAGGAGGCAAUGAGGCUUGCGGAGUUCUUUGAGAAAGAGAGCCGUGGCCGAAGGGCUUGGACCCGUGUACAGUCCUUAACAUCAGGUAUUGAUGAUGAGAAUAAUCCAAACCUUGUCAAGGUGGAUGAGAAGACUGGGGAGAAGCAGAGAAUCUUUUAUGGCUAUCUUGGAACUGCUUUUGAUUUGGACAAGUUGAAUUAUGAGAUGAAGAAGAAGGUUGUAAUUGAGAGCAGGAGGGAAUACAAGUCAUCCAAGUAGCGCCUAAGAGCAAAAACACUCUAGGAGACCAGUAAUUGGAUCCGUGCUCUUGUUUUUUCUACGGAACUUGAACUGUUUGCUUAUAUGCAUUAUGGAGUAGACAGAAAUUUGAAGGUAGGUUCUCACAAAGGUCUUAUGCUGCACUAACUAUAGAUAGUUGUCUCCCUUUGUCUUGGUCUCAGAUCCAGUAUCCUCAACCACAAAUACUCUACCAGCACACUUUUUCAUCUGAUUAAAUGUUACCUUGCAGACAGAUGCCUGUAUUUGUUA